rnacentral:rRNA from 1 species
AGUGAGCGCUGGCGGUAGGCCUAACACAUGCAAGUCGAACGGCAGCACAGUAAGAGCUUGCUCUUACGGGUGGCGAGUGGCGGACGGGUGAGGAAUACAUCGGAAUCUACUUUUUCGUGGGGGAUAACGUAGGGAAACUUACGCUAAUACCGCAUACGACCUACGGGUGAAAGCAGGGGAUCUUCGGACCUUGCGCGAUUGAAUGAGCCGAUGUCGGAUUAGCUAGUUGGCGGGGUAAAGGCCCACCAAGGCGACGAUCCGUAGCUGGUCUGAGAGGAUGAUCAGCCACACUGGAACUGAGACACGGUCCAGGCUCCUACGGGAGGCAGCAGUGGGGAAUAUUGGACAAUGGGCGCAAGCCUGAUCCAGCCAUACCGCGUGGGUGAAGAAGGCCUUCGGGUUGUAAAGCCCUUUUGUUGGGAAAGAAAAGCAGCAGGUUAAUACCCCGCUGUUCUGACGGUACCCAAAGAAUAAGCACCGGCUAACUUCGUG